GACGAACGCUGGCGGCGUGCUUAACACAUGCAAGUCGAACGAAGAGCGAUGGAAGCUUGCUUCUAUCAAUCUUAGUGGCGAACGGGUGAGUAACGCGUAAUCAACCUGCCCUUCAGAGGGGGACAACAGUUGGAAACGACUGCUAAUACCGCAUACGAUCUAAUCUCGGCAUCGAGGAUAGAUGAAAGGUGGCCUCUACAUGUAAGCUAUCACUGAAGGAGGGGAUUGCGUCUGAUUAGCUAGUUGGAGGGGUAACGGCCCACCCAGGCGAUGAUCAGUAGCCGGUCUGAGAGGAUGAACGGCCACAUUGGGACUGAGACACGGCCCAGACUCCUACGGGAGGCAGCAGUGGGGAAUCUUCCGCAAUGGACGAAAGGCUGACGGAGCAACGCCGCGUGAGUGAUGACGGCCUUCGGGUUGUAAAGCUCUGUUAAUCGGGACGAAAGGCCUUCUUGCGAACAGUUAGAAGGAUUGACGGUACCGGAAUAGAAAGCCACGGCUAACUACGUG
rnacentral:rRNA from 1 species